rnacentral:rRNA from 1 species
AUACAGAGGGUGCAAGCGUUAAUCGGAAUUACUGGACGUAAAGCGCGCGUAGGUGGUUAGUUAAGUUGGAUGUGAAAGCCCUGGGCUCAACCUGGGAAUGGCAUUCAAAACUGGCUGACUAGAGUAUGGUAGAGGGAAGGGGAAUUCCAGGUGUAGCGGUGAAAUGCGUAGAUAUCUGGAGGAACAUCAGUGGCGAAGGCGCCUUCCUGGACUAAUACUGACACUGAGGUGCGAAAGCGUGGGUAGCAAACAGGAUUAGAUACCCCGGUAGUCC